rnacentral:piRNA from 1 species
UCACGUUAGUCAGAGCAUGUUGGCAUGGA